rnacentral:rRNA from 1 species
UACGGGGGGGGCAAGCGUUGUUCGGAAUUACUGGGCGUAAAGGGCGCGUAGGCGGCCUUCUAAGUCGGACGUGAAAUCCCUCGGCUCAACCGAGGAACUGCGUCCGAUACUGAAAGGCUUGAAUCCGGGAGAGGGAUGUGGAAUUCCAGGUGUAGCGGUGAAAUGCGUAGAUAUCUGGAGGAACACCGGUGGCGAAGGCGGCAUCCUGGACCGGCAUUGACGCUGAGGCGCGAAAGCUAGGGGAGCGAACAGG